rnacentral:rRNA from 1 species
UACGAAGGGGGCUAGCGUUGUUCGGAAUUACUGGGCGUAAAGCGCGCGCAGGCGGUUUUCCAAGUCAGUGGUGAAAGCCCGGAGCUCAACUCCGGAACUGCCAUUGAAACUGGCGAACUUGAGUACGAGAGAGGUGAGUGGAAUUCCCAGUGUAGAGGUGAAAUUCGUAGAUAUCGGGAGGAACACCUGUGGCGAAAGCGGCUCACUGGACCACAACUGACGCUGAGGCGCGAAAGCUAGGGGAGCAAACAGG